rfam:Spinacia oleracea cultivar SynViroflay scaffold54970.con0015.1, whole genome shotgun sequence.
AUAGUAGCUGCUGGUGAGCGCGAAUGAAAUUGUCGUUCGCAGUUGUUUUAGUCGCUUUAGACUUUUGACCACGGAUGUACUGGCACUGGUGUUGAAAGCGAUAUGAGGAAGGUCGGUGCAAUAUUGCCCCGGCCUUUUUUGUU